GAUGAACGCUGGCGGCGUGCUUAACACAUGCAAGUCGAACGGUGAAGCUCAGCUUGCUGGGUGGAUCAGUGGCGAACGGGUGAGUAACACGUGAGCAACCUGCCCCGGACUCUGGGAUAAGCGCUGGAAACGGCGUCUAAUACUGGAUAUGAGCCAGAACCGCAUGGUUACUGGUUGGAAAGAUUUUUUGGUCUGGGAUGGGCUCGCGGCCUAUCAGCUUGUUGGUGAGGUAAUGGCUCACCAAGGCGUCGACGGGUAGCCGGCCUGAGAGGGUGACCGGUCACACUGGGACUGAGACACGGCCCAGACUCCUACGGGAGGCAGCAGUGGGGAAUAUUGGACAAUGGGCGGAAGCCUGAUCCAGCAACGCCGCGUGAGGGAUGACGGCCUUCGGGUUGUAAACCUCUUCCGGUGGGGACGAAGCGCAAGUGACGGUACCCACUAAAGAAGCACCGGCCAACUACGUGCCAGCAGCCGCGGUAAUACGUAGGGUGCGAGCGUUGUCCGGAAUUAUUGGGCGUAAAGGGCUCGUAGGCGGUUUGUCGCGUCGGGAGUGAAAACCAGGUGCUUAACACCUGGCUUGCUUUCGAUACGGGCAGACUAGAGGUAUUCAGGGGAGAUUGGAAUUCCUGGUGUAGCGGUGGAAUGCGCAGAUAUCAGGAGGAACACCGAUGGCGAAGGCAGAUCUCUGGGCCGUAACUGACGCUGAGGAGCGAAAGCAUGGGGAGCAAACAGGCUUAGAUACCCUGGUAGUCCAUGCCGUAAACGUUGGGAACUAGAUGUGGGGA
rnacentral:rRNA from 1 species